rnacentral:rRNA from 1 species
GACGAACGCUGGCGGCGUGCCUAAUACAUGCAAGUCGAACGCUUUUUCUUUCACCGGAGCUUGCUCCACCGAAAGAAAAAGAGUGGCGAACGGGUGAGUAACACGUGGGUAACCUGCCCAUCAGAAGGGGAUAACACUUGGAAACGGGUGCUAAUACCGUAUAACACUAUUUUCCGCAUGGAAGAAAGUUGAAAGGCGCUUUUGCGUCACUGAUGGAUGGACCCGCGGUGCAUUAGCUAGUUGGUGAGGUAACGGCUCACCAAGGCAACGAUGCAUAGCCGACCUGAGAGGGUGAUCGGCCACACUGGGACUGAGACACGGCCCAGACUCCUACGGGAGGCAGCAGUAGGGAAUCUUCGGCAAUGGACGAAAGUCUGACCGAGCAACGCCGCGUGAGUGAAGAAGGUUUUCGGAUCGUAAAACUCUGUUGUUAGAGAAGAGCAAGGAUGAGAGUAAAAUGUUCAUCCCUUGACGGUAUCUAACCAGAAAGCCACGGCUAACUACGUGCCAGCAGCCGCCGUAA